CGGACGGGUGAGUAACACGUGGAUAACCUACCUAUAAGACUGGGAUAACUUCGGGAAACCGGAGCUAAUACCGGAUAAUAUAUUGAACUGCAUGGUUCAAUAGUGAAAGACGGUUUUGCUGUCACUUAUAGAUGGAUCCGCGCCGCAUUAGCUAGUUGGUAAGGUAACGGCUUACCAAGGCAACGAUGCGUAGCCGACCUGAGAGGGUGAUCGGCCACAUUGGAACUGAGACACGGUCCAG
rnacentral:rRNA from 1 species